rnacentral:rRNA from 1 species
GAGUUUGAUCCUGGCUCAGAAUCAACGCUGGCGACGUGCCUAACACAUGCAAGUCGCACGAGAAAGGGGCUUCGGCCCUGAGUAAAGUGGCGCACGGGUGAGUAACACGUGACUAACCUACCCUCGAGUGGGGAAUAACCUAGAGAAAUCUGGGCUAAUACCGCAUAACACUUACGAGUCAAAGCAGCAAUGCGCUUGAGGAGGGUCGCGGCAGAUUAGUUAGUUGGCAGGGUAAUGGCCUACCAAGACAAUGAUCUGUAUCCGGCCUGAGAGGGCGCACGGACACACUGGAACUGAAACACGGUCCAGACUCCUACGGGAGGCAGCAGUGGGGAAUUUUGCGCAAUGGGGGAAACCCUGACGCAGCAACGCCGCGUGGAGGAUGAAAUCCCUUGGGAUGUAAACUCCUUUCGAUAGGGAAGAUAAUGACGGUACCUAUAGAAGAAGCCCCGGCUAACUUCGUGCCAGCAGCCGCGGUAAUACG